GUGGCCGUAGCUCAUCAGGUUAGAGCACCGGAUUGUGACUCCGGAGGUGGAGGGUUCGAGACCCUUCGGCCACCCCA
rnacentral:tRNA from 1 species